UAAUUUUUCGAUUUUUUUAAUUUUUAGGAAUUUAUUUAAGUUUUUUUGUUUACAUUUCUUUUUUGUGUUUUACUUUUAUUUAAAAUUAUUUAAUUAAUCGAUAUAUUAAAUUCCUUCUUUAUAUUAUAAUCCUUAUUUAUAUUAUAAUGUUUCAUUCAAUUUAAUUAUUUUUUUAAAUUAAUAAUUAUAUUAAUAACUUUUGUUAUAUUUCUACGUCUUUACAGUCAACAACAAUUAAUAUAUAUUGUAUGAUAUUUCAAUUUUCCGCGCAAUUUUAGAAUGAAUAAGAAAGUGUGAUGCACCAGCCAAUCAGAACGUCGCUUAAUUCGAAACGCGAGACGAAUCAGUGCGCAUCAUAGUGCGCAUCGUAAUGCGCAUGGCGUCAGUCUACAGUUGAAAAUCGUGACAAGAGGACGAAUCAUCGCAAAUUCGGAUUACAUAGUUUAAUUGGUAACAUCAUGAUAGAUCUUCGAAGGCGGGAAAAAUUCCAAUAUGGCCACUAUGUGUUUGUUGAUGACGUGGUAAAAUUUUACAUUUCAAAAUAUUUGUGACCGCGCGCAAUGCGGUUAAUAGAAUCAGUGUUUGUUUCGUCAUAGUAUUUUUAAUAUUUUUUAGAGCACAAUAGCUCUGAUUAAAUUUAAUUGUUAUAAUGACACGCGAAAUUAGAAUCAGUGUUUAUUCGCCGAAUUACAAAAUAUGUACGAACGCGUUAAUAGUUUCUUAUUUUUAUUUUUUUCUUAUUUUAAACAUUCGUUUCCGGUACAGGGUAGAAUCAGUGCUUUUCUCAAGAGAAUAAGGUGAUCAUCCAUCACGCGAAGAGAUUUCUUCCUUCCUUCUACCUGAUGACAGCCUUCUUCUCGAUGACUUCUGGACGACAACACAGUGAAGGCGUUCGUCGCAUCAUAUGGUGAGUCGCAUGCUUUUUGGUUCCUCCGAUCACUCAAUCAUGUCGUAGGAUGAAAGAUCCGAAU